AUGGCUUCCGUCUCCACGGCGCCGCGCGCCCCGCUCCCGGCGGUGGCCUCCUCGUCCUCGUCGUCCGCGCGGCAGGUGGAUCCGAACCCUAGCGGCAGCAGCUUCCUCGCCGGGCGGCGCCUCCGCGUCGUCCGCCGCCUCGCCGGCGCGGCCCCGUCGCGGCGCGCUCCGUUGGCCUGCUGCUCCGCGCGUAGCCCCGGCGCGGACGCCGGCGGCGAUGAGCGGCGCCGGCGGGGUUGGGACGCGAUGCUCCACGACGCCUUCCAGGGUGCCGUGCGGCGGUGGAGCGAGUACGUCCGAAAUUACUGGCCCCCAUCGACCUCUGUUAAGGAGGUGGGUACGGGGAAGAGGGUUGGGAGUUCUCACGAGCAGGAGGUGAUGAAUGGGGGUGAAGAGAGGAAGGCUGGGGAUGAAGAGGGAAAAUGGGGCUGGGAGAGGUGGAAGCGGCACUUUGCUCUCGUUGAGGAGAGCGAGCGUCUCGUUGAUGAGCUCCAGCUGCAACUCCAGGCUGCUGUUUAUAGAGAAGACUACAGGAGUGCUCAUAAACUGAGGCUGGCUAUUGCUGCUACAGCAAAAAAUGACACUGUGGGCAGAGCUAUCUCUGACUUAAAUAUGGCCAUAGACGAGGAGCGCUACAAGGAUGCGGCAUAUAUCAGAGAUCAUGCUGGCGCAGGACUGCUGGGGUGGUGGUCUGGAAUUUCUGGAAAUUUGGCUGAUCCAUAUGGUCUUAUAAUUCGUAUAAGUGCUGAACAUGGUCGGUAUGUGGCAAGAAGUUAUGAUACGAGACAGCUGGCUUCUGACAGCCCUGGUCUCCCUAUAUUUGAAAUAUACUUUGCAGAGGCAAAUGGUGGAUACAACCUGCAGGCAGUGCAUCUGAAACCAGAUGAUAGCGAUUCUGACCAAGUGCCAAACAUGUUAAGGGAGAAACUUGGCAUUGACAGUAUAAACAUAUCUAGCAGUUCAGUAGGGUCUAAGCAUGAAAAAUUCGAUGGAAGUGUAAACAUGGAUGAUAAAGAUAGUGAUGACAGCAACAUUGCUGCUGGCCCUGGUUCAAAAAACUUGUCAAGCGAUCCAACUGCAGUUCCCAGGAUUAAAAUCUUGAAAGUGGUACCCAUGCAGAAUGUUGACCAAGACUACAUAAUCAAUAUAUUUGAUCAGAUUUCAGAGGAAGAUGAUGACAAUGAUGAUCCUGAAGUUGAAAAUGAAUCUUCAGAAGAUGUUGGUGAUGAAGAUAACAGUGGAGUAGCAGAAACAGUUUCUGCAGAAGAGAACGGUGAUGAAUCUGGUGACGAAAGUGAUAUUGAAGCCUUGGUUUCAAUUGAUUUUGUCAGUGAGAAUAACAACGACUAUGCUUCUCGUCCAUCUGAUGAAGCUUUUGAACGAAUGCCGGCUAGAUUAGAAAAAAGAGACCGCUUCUCAUUUUCCUUCUAUACUGAAGAAUUCAGUAAAAAGCUAGAUGCUGGAAAGGCCCAGCAGACUUCAAAGAAAACAGUUGGUUUGCAUACCGAUCAGCAGGAUUAUGAUGGUUUUGUCCAGCUUGAUCGUGUAAAGUUGAGUGGCAGCAACAAAAAACUAUCGAUACUGCAACUUGGCAUCAAACAAAAUAACAACAAGGUUCAGCAAAAACUGCAUGGAGUUACCCACUUUAGUCGUAUUCAGAUGCCUAUAUCUUCAGAUCCUCUUACCGGCUUAUAUGUGACCGCCUCAGGACUUGACUCAGAAAUUCUUAGUUUGCAACGAAAAUUUGGUCAAUGGCGGGAGGAUGGUUCAUCUGAGGAGCAUAGUGACCUAUUGUUCUAUGAGUAUGUUGAAGCUGUAAAAUUAACAGGGGACAACCUUGUGCCAGCUGGUCAGGUUGUCUUCCGUGCAAAAGUUGGUGAACGUUAUCAGCUCCCUCAUAAGGGAAUUAUCCCUAGAGAACUUGGAGUGAUUGCUAGGUACAAGGGGCAAAGGAAAAUUGCAGAUCCUGGUUUCCAAAACCCUCGAUGGGUUGACGGGGAGCUUUUGAUACUAGAUGGAAAGUUCAUCAGAGAUGGUCCUGUGAUAGCUUUCUUUUACUGGACAUCUAAUUUUCAUCUUUUCGAAUUCUUUAGACGGUUGAGGCUUUCUGACUAGUUCCCUUCUAAAAGUAGUUAAAGAGGUAGUGCUUGUUGGCUGUUGCAGGCCAUCAUUGAUCCAAAUUUGGCCUAGUUUCUUUCUGGGAAUGCUACAUUCAUCCUAAAUGGUCAUCCUUUUUGGCCCCUCUAAUAAGCAUUAAAAUGGACAAUGGAUCCAACUGGCUGAAUUUUACACAGCAGUUGGUGCUCUCUCAUAGGGUAAAGCCAGAAGUAAAUGAACAGGCCAUGCUUAUUUCAGCAUAGUUGCAUUUGGAGCCAACCGGAGUUGCCUGGCAUUAUAUUUUCCGGGGACAGUUCUGAUGUGGAGAACAGGGCUGGCAUGAAUCAAGUGGCAUCUCCAUCCACUCUGAAAGCCUGCCAUAAGGGUGGAAAUAGCUCGCAGCUGCAGGAAGAGGAAUAAUCCUACCAACAUGGAUGAGCCGCGGGCGCAACAUACUCGUUCCGCUUCUGCGCCGCUUGCCUGCCAGGUCCAAAACCGCCAGUUCCUGUGUUUCUCAGAGCACAUAGUAAAGCACCUCAAAUAUGUAAAGUUAUGCAGUCGCAGAUAAUUUAGGAUUUUGAGAGCAUCUUGGCAGCUUUCAUGCAUGCAGAGUCAGUAUGUGAAAUAGUACGAGCAAUGGUUUUGUGUAGCGUGAUCAAACAGUGGCCGUCAUAUUUGUACAUAUGUCGCAAUCAGCAGCAGAGGCGUGCAGCCCAACACGGUUACACUUUCAUAGAUUUGUUAAUAUGUUGAAGUUUGUUUGAGCGUGCCUUUUCUCACGCAAGCACUCUUAAAAAAA